rnacentral:rRNA from 1 species
UACGAAGGGGGCUAGCGUUGCUCGGAAUCACUGGGCGUAAAGGGUGCGUAGGCGGGUCUUUAAGUCAGGGGUGAAAUCCUGGAGCUCAACUCCAGAACUGCCUUUGAUACUGAGGAUCUUGAGUUCGGGAGAGGUGAGUGGAACUGCGAGUGUAGAGGUGAAAUUCGUAGAUAUUCGGAAGAACACCAAUGGCGAAGGCGGCCAACUGGUCCGGUACUGACGCUGAGGUGCGAAAGCGUGGGGAGCAAACAGG